rnacentral:rRNA from 1 species
GAUAGCCAUGCAUGUCUCAGUACGAGCCGUAUUAAGGUGAAACCGCGAAAGGCUCAUUAAAUCAGUUAUGGUUCCUUAGAUCGUACCCACAUUUACUUGGAUAACUGUGGUAAUUCUAGAGCUAAUACAUGCAAACAGAGCUCCGACCGGAGACGGAAGGAGCGCUUUUAUUAGAUCAAAACCAAUCGGUGGCGGGCUCGCCCGUCAUCGUACACCUCGGUGACUCUGAAUAACUUUUUGCUGAUCGCACGGUCUCGCACCGGCGACGCAUCUUUCAAAUGUCUGCCUUAUCAACUGUCGAUGGUAGGUUCUGCGCCUACCAUGGUUGUAACGGGUAACGGGGAAUCAGGGUUCGAUUCCGGAGAGGGAGCCUGAGAAACGGCUACCACAUCCAAGGAAGGCAGCAGGCGCGCAAAUUACCCACUCCCGGCACGGGGAGGUAGUGACGAAAAAUAACGAUACGGGACUCAUCCGAGGCCCCGUAAUCGGAAUGAGUACACUCUAAACCCUUUAACGAGGAUCAAUUGGAGGGCAAGUCUGGUGCCAGCAGCCGCGGUAAUUCCAGCUCCAAUAGCGUAUAUUAAAGUUGUUGCGGUUAAAAAGCUCGUAGUCGAAUUUGUGUCCCGCGCCGCCGGUUCAUCGCUCGCGGUGUUUAACUGGCGUGUCCGCGGGACGUCCUGCCGGUGGACUUAGUCCCUCCGGGGGCGGUCCAACUUGAAAUCCCACCGCGGUGCUCUUUGCCGAGUGUCGAGGUGGGCCGGCACGUUUACUUUGAACAAAUUAGAGUGCUUAAAGCAGGCUAAAACUUUGCCUGAAUACUGUGUGCAUGGAAUAAUGGAAUAGGACCUCGGUUCUAUUUUGUUGGUUUUCGGAACUCCGAGGUAAUGAUUAAUAGGAACGGAUGGGGGCAUUCGUAUUGCGACGUUAGAGUGAAAUUCUUGGAUCGUCGCAAGACGGACAGAGCGAAAGCAUUUGCCAAAACGCUUUCAUUGAUCAAGACGAAAGUUAGAGGUU